GAGGAAUAUUGGUCAAUGGGCGGAAGCCUGAACCAGCCAAGUAGCGUGCAGGAUGACGGCCCUAUGGGUUGUAAACUGCUUUUAUACAGGAAUAAAGUUAGCCACGUGUGGUUAUUUGUAGGUACCGUAUGAAUAAGGACCGGCUAAUUCCGUGCCAGCAGCCGCGGUAAUACGGAAGGUCCAGGCGUUAUCCGGAUUUAUUGGGUUUAAAGGGAGCGUAGGCCGUCUGUUAAGCGUGUUGUGAAAUGUAGAUGCUCAACAUCUGAAUUGCAGCGCGAACUGGCAGACUUGAGUGUGCGCAACGUAGGCGGAAUUCGUGGUGUAGCGGUGAAAUGCUUAGAUAUCACGAAGAACUCCGAUUGCGAAGGCAGCUUACGGGAGCACAACUGACGCUGAAGCUCGAAAGUGCGGGUAUCGAAC
rnacentral:rRNA from 1 species